UCCUAAGCCACCCACAGUGACCUGAUAUCUUCCUCAGAGUGAAGUAUUCAUUAGUAACAAUAGCAUAUAGAAAUGAUAAAGGAGAGAGUGCUCAUGUUUAGCUUGUUUGCUGAGCAAUUAUCUUCUAUGUAGGAACCUUGGCUGGUCUGAGUUUCCUGGGUCUCCCCAGCAAGCAAGGUGCUUCCACCCCUUUUUCCCUUAUGUGGCACCCAGGCUUUUCCCUGGCCCUGCCCUGGAGCUCCCUCCUUGCAGUGGGCCACUGCAUUAUACAAUAGCUCUGUUUUACUGAUGAACAACUUGCAAAGUUUCACCCCUUUUUUACUCAUCAGUAUUUAUAGCAUGCAGCAGCAGCCAGUGCAUCAUGUUUGGUACUUUGCUAUUUAACAGGCAAAUGAAUUCAUCACAGAUGAGUUUCGUUGAUCAGCUACUGUUGGACUCUGCCCUUAUGGGACCCUAAACCUGAUGAUGGUUUUUGGGCACGAGCUGCUUCACAGCAUGAGGGGCCAAGAAGAAGAGCACGAAGGAGCCCAAAAGCAAGAUGCUGAGAUGUGUGCAGAGAAUGCAACAUGACAAACUGCUAGGUUUGGUUAAAUUGGGACUGUUAAUUAUAGCAGUUUAAAUUGGAUUCUGACUCAGAUUUUGAAUUCAUAGUGGCAAGAUGACAGCCUGGAGAAGGUGUUUGCAAAUGGCUGACUCAGAGGAUGAUGAUCAGCACGACGGUGCCUUCUGCCUGUGCUAGUACUAUGUGUUUAUAGGAGCGAUGUUAUAAGGUGACAGUUGCCAGUUCAGCUCCACCCCUUGAUCUGUUCACCAGAGAUUAUGCAGCCUGGAAAGACAAAAUGAGCAAAUGGAGGAAGGAGCAUAUUAAUUGGUCUUUAAAGGGUGCUUAAGAGUGUGUCCUUGAAGGAGGAGUUACCUAUGUCCAUCAGCACCCGUCCAUACCUCAGUAGGAAGAGAACUGAGAGCUGGGAGCCUUCCCUCACCUGCUGCACAGAUAAGGCUUUCUUUGGCACUCUACAAGCCUUCCUUCAACCUGAAGAUCCUUUCAGCAUUUGGAUGGUAAAUGGCAUCAAAGAUCACCACCCACCACUCAUAAGACAUUCUUCCAUGGUGAAAGCAUAAUGCGAAGCGUGGGUCGCCUCUUGUAACUUCAAGGAUCAUGGAUUCUCUCCCAGGUGGAAAGGUGAGGCUGCCAAGGUCAAAAUGCAGACAGGAGAAGGCUGUGGGAUGAAGUGCAGGCAGUUUUGUGUCACAUUACAGUGGUAUAGUCUUUUAAUGUUAAUCAGUUCAGUGAAAAAUCCUCUUGUUUUGAUGUGAAUAGCACAGAUCCUAUCUCCAGCAAAUUGGUGUUGUGAUGACUUUCUCUAAAAGGAAAGUCAUCACCUGGAGCAAUGUAAUCACCAAAGGAAGAAAAGUGCCAAGUCAUCUGAAGCUUUGUCUCUCCUGAUUGCAAUCAUAUUUUAUACUCAAGUAAAGAGAAACUGCUGUGACAAUGGAGCAAGGAAGUAGUGGCUGUUCACCAUCCAUCUAUUGUGGAUAUGGAACUGCAAAGCCAUUUUCAAGGCAGCCUCCGUAUACAGAUGUUCACUCACUGGAGAUAAUUUCAGCAGGCACACCUAGAGCUUUAUGGGACUGUGGGAACUGGUUGACUCCCCUUCCUCCAUCUAAUCAGCCACCCAGUCAGGCAGCUGAGGAGGCCAGAAGCAAUGGGAGGACACUGGGCACCUUCCUUCAUCUUCUAAAUGUGAGAGUAUGAGGUUGUCAGAGUUGUCAUGUUAAUCCUUCCUUUUAAAUUCCCAUUAAUGUGUCUUAAAAAUACGACCUCCGCGCACAUGGAAACGUGGUAACGUGCUGCUCAGGCGCACAGCUCCUGGCCUCUGACCCACCCGGGAAUGCAACGAGCUCCUUAAGACCCCGACGCCACUUUGAUGGCCCUCCAGGAGCCUGCAGAAGAUGCCAUCCAGUGGCAGCAAGGUAACAUUACAAGAGCAGGCAAUAAAAUCGGCCCUUGACACCCUCCUUGAAAAAAGUUGUAUCUGGUCGUGACUUAACUGCAUAAUCAAAGUACCCAGGAUGUCUGUGGCCUGUGGUGAAGACUUGAGUGACACCCAUCUCUAAUUAUGCUAAUUGGACAGCUUCUUUUUCCUCUCCAGAAACCCUUAUGCUUUUGUUUGCAGGGAAUAAAUAAAGAGGGAUUAGCUAUGUUUA